rnacentral:rRNA from 2 species
ACCUGACUGCUAUCGGAUUGAUACUAAGCCAUGCGAGUCAUUGUAGUAAUACAAGGCAGACGGCUCAGUAACGCGUAGUCAACCUAACCUACGGACGGGAAUAACCUCGGGAAACUGAGUAUAAUGCCCGAUAGAACAUUAUGCCUGGAAUGGUUUAUGUUCCAAAUGAUUUAUCGCCGUAGGAUGGGACUGCGGCCUAUCAGUUUGUUGGUGAGGUAAUGGCCCACCAAGACUAUUACAGGUACGGGCUCUGAGAGGAGUGGCCCGGAGAUGGGUACUGAGACACGGACCCAGGCCCUAUGGGGCGCAGCAGGCGAGAAAACUUUGCAAUGUGCGAAAGCACGACAAGGUUAAUCCGAGUGGUUUCUGCUAAAGGAACCUUUUGUCGGUCCUAGAAACACCGAUGAAUAAGGGGUGGGCAAGUUCUGGUGUCAGCCGCCGCGGUAAAACCAGCACCUCAAGUGGUCAGGAUGAUUAUUGGGCCUAAAGCAUCCGUAGCCGGCUCUGUAAGUUUUCGGUUAAAUCUGUACGCUUAACGUACAGGCUGCCGGGAAUACUGCAGAGCUAGGGAGUGGGAGAGGUAGACGGUACUCGGUAGGAAGGGGUAAAAUCCUUUGAUCUAUUGAUGACCACCUGUGGCGAAGGCGGUCUACCAGAACACGUCCGACGGUGAGGGAUGAAAGCUGGGGGAGCAAACCGGAUUAGAUACCCGGGUAGUCCCAGCUGUAAACUAUGCAAACUCAGUGAUGCAUUGGCUUGUGGCCAAUGCAGUGCUGCAGGGAAGCCGUUAAGUUUGCCGCCUGGGAAGUACGUACGCAAGUAUGAAACUUAAAGGAAUUGGCGGGGGAGCACCACAAGGGGUGAAGCCUGCGGUUC